rnacentral:rRNA from 1 species
GACAGAGGAUGCAAGCGUUAUCCGGAAUGAUUGGGCGUAAAGCGUCUGUAGGUGGCUUUUUAAGUCCGCCGUCAAAUCCCAGGGCUCAACCCUGGACAGGCGGUGGAAACUACCAAGCUGGAGUACGGUAGGGGCAGGAGGGAAUUUCCGGUGGAGCGGUGAAAUGCGUAGAGAUCGGAAAGAACACCAACGGCGAAAGCACUCUGCUGGGCCGACACUGACGCUGAGGAGCAGAAAGCUGGGGAGCGAACGGG